AGUCGAGCGGGGAAGGUAGCUUGCUACUUAACCUAGCGGCGGACGGGUGAGUAAUGCUUAGGAAUCUGCCUAUUAGUGGGGGACAACAUCUCGAAAGGGAUGCUAAUACCGCAUACGUCCUACGGGAGAAAGCAGGGGACCUUCGGGCCUUGCGCUAAUAGAUGAGCCUAAGUCGGAUUAGCUAGUUGGUGGGGUAAAGGCCUACCAAGGCGACGAUCUGUAGCGGGUCUGAGAGGAUGAUCCGCCACACUGGGACUGAGACACGGCCCAGACUCCUACGGGAGGCAGCAGUGGGGAUAUUGGACAAUGGGGGGAACCCUGAUCCAGCCAUGCCGCGUGUGUGAAGAAGGCCUUUUGGUUGUAAAGCACUUUAAGCGAGGAGGAGGCUACCGAGAUUAAUACUCUUGGAUAGUGGACGUUACUCGCAGAAUAAGCACCGGCUAACUCUGUGCCAGCAGCCGCGGUAAUACAGAGGGUGCAAGCGUUAAUCGGAUUUACUGGGCGUAAAGCGCGCGUAGGUGGCCAAUUAAGUCAAAUGUGAAAUCCCCGAGCUUAACUUGGGAAUUGCAUUCGAUACUGGUUGGCUAGAGUAUGGGAGAGGAUGGUAGAAUUCCGGGUGUAGCGGUGAAAUGCGUAGAGAUCUGGAGGAAUACCGAUGGCGAAAGCAGCCAUCUGGCCUAAUACUGACACUGAGGUGCGAAAGCAUGGGGAGCAAAC
rnacentral:rRNA from 1 species